rnacentral:rRNA from 1 species
GAUGAACGCUAGCUACAGGCUUAACACAUGCAAGUCGAGGGGAAACGAUGAGAGAGCUUGCUCUCUUAGUCGUCGACCGGCGCACGGGUGAGUAACGCGUAUCCAACCUGCCUCUGACCAAGGGAUAACCCGUCGAAAGUCGGACUAAUACCUUAUGCAGUCGUCGGAAGUCAUCUGAUGACGACGAAAGAUUUCAUCGGUGAGAGAUGGGGAUGCGUCUGAUUAGCUUGUUGGCGGGGUAACGGCCCACCAAGGCGACGAUCAGUAGGGGUUCUGAGAGGAAGGCCCCCCACAUUGGAACUGAGACACGGUCCAAACUCCUACGGGAGGCAGCAGUGAGGAAUAUUGGUCAAUGGGCGUAAGCCUGAACCAGCCAAGUAGCGUGCAGGAUGACGGCCCUAUGGGUUGUAAACUGCUUUUAUGCGGGGAUAAAGUGAGGGACGUGUCCUUCAUUGCAGGUACCGCAUGAAUAAGGACCGGCUAAUUCCGUG